UACGUAGGGGGCAAGCGUUGUCCGGAUUUAUUGGGCGUAAAGAGCGUGUAGGCGGCCAGAUAGCUCUGUUGUGAAAACUCGAGGCUCAACCUCGAGACGCCGAUGGAAACCAUCUGGCUAGAGUCCGGAAGAGGAGAGUGGAAUUCCUGGUGUAGCGGUGAAAUGCGCAGAUAUCAGGAAGAACACCCGUGGCUAAGGCGGCUCUCUAGUACGGUACUGACGCUGAGACGCGAAAGCGUGGGGAGCGAACAGG
rnacentral:rRNA from 1 species